rnacentral:tmRNA from 1 species
GGCCUUUCAUUUUCGCCCGCGACUUCCUAUAUUCAUCGAGCCGGCUUGUCCGGCUAUGGCGAUAAACAGGCGAUGAAAUAAGCCGUUCGGACCCGGGGGCGGUACCCGGCGCCUCCACCAAAAACCGCUUUCGAGAGCGGUUUCUGAUGGGGGCGAAAUAGGAUCGACGAAGGUGUAAAGAUCGUGCUUUCGCCCGGCAUUGUACCACCGUUAUCGGGCUAACCUAGUAGUUGCAAACGACAACUAUGCGGAAGCACGUCUCGCCGCUUAAUGCGGUGCGAUAGCUUCAAAUCAAGUCCUAGGGGUUCGCACUUCUAGGCGGGGUUCGGAGGUACCUGGCAACAGAAACCUCCACU